AAAUCUAAACCUUUCUUCCCCCUCUUUCCCCCCAAUCUCCAAGGAAGGCAAAUUCACCGCCUUCGAAGAGAGGUGGUUCCACUGCUAAAUCAGCUCCCGCCCUCGGGAACCUCUUCCUAAUAUUUAAUUGGAAUCUCCUCCUUCCUUGCAAUUGGAAUCGGUUCAGGUCCGACCCUUCGGAGCAACAGAAAACAAGUUUACUCCACCUUCCAUGUGACAAGCCCUUAAGAAAUUUGAAGACGGCUAUCGUAUCACCUCGGAGCAAUCUUCUGCCCAAGCUAAGUCUCAGUCCCAAACCGUCGUACCCUCCAUCUCCCUCGCUUCCUCUUGAUGGGUGCGCUCAGAGAAAGCACCCCCAAAUAAGAAAGUCCAAAACGGACACACGAAAAAGUGGGGGGAACCGACAGAGCCCCAUAUGUUUACUUGAGUAAGAAAAUGCGAGGGCCAUUUAGCCUUGUUGUGACAAAAUCCAUGAAAAUGGAGGACAGCCGUAUACCAUAUAAGGCCAGGAACCUAGGUACACAGAGACACCACCUCCAGAGAGAAAGAGAAAACGAGAAGGUGGGGAGAGAGAGAGAGAGAGAGAGAGAGAGAGAGAGAGAGAGAGAGAAAGAAAGAAAGAAAGAAAGAAAGAAAGAAAGAAAGAAAGAAAGAAAGAAAGAAAGAAAGAAAAUGUAUCAAGAUCCCAAUCUAAUGGUCCCUGAAUCCAAACUGCUCUCAUUGAAAGCCAUUUUGCUCCCGCAAUCAGUAAGCAGUGCUGCCUCUCUCCAGAUGUAUACAUGGUUCUUCUAAUGAUCAUCAUCAUCAUCAACAAUAUAUAUAUGGAUGCCGUCAUUGUCACCAUAAUCCUUACCAUACGAUUACUGAUAUCUGCCUAUCGAUGGCCUCAGCCUUUUUGGUUUCCUUACAUGGUUU
rnacentral:lncRNA from 1 species